rnacentral:sRNA from 1 species
AAAGGAGGAAGAAGAAGAAGAAGAUGAAGAAGAAGGAUUGAAG